rnacentral:rRNA from 1 species
CAGUCGAGCGGACAGAUGGGAGCUUGCUCCCUGAUGUUAGCGGCGGACGGGUGAGUAACACGUGGGUAACCUGCCUGUAAGACUGGGAUAACUCCGGGAAACCGGGGCUAAUACCGGAUGGUUGUUUGAACCGCAUGGUUCAGACAUAAAAGGUGGCUUCGGCUACCACUUACAGAUGGACCCGCGGCGCAUUAGCUAGUUGGUGAGGUAACGGCUCACCAAGGCGACGAUGCGUAGCCGACCUGAGAGGGUGAUCGGCCACACUGGGACUGAGACACGGCCCAGACUCCUACGGGAGGCAGCAGUAGGGAAUCUUCCGCAAUGGACGAAAGUCUGACGGAGCAACGCCGCGUGAGUGAUGAAGGUUUUCGGAUCGUAAAGCUCUGUUGUUAGGGAAGAACAAGUGCCGUUCAAAUAGGGCGGCACCUUGACGGUACCUAACCAGAAAGCCACGGCUAACUACGUGCCAGCAGCCGCGGUAAUACGUAGGUGGCAAGCGUUGUCCGGAAUUAUUGGGCGUAAAGGGCUCGCAGGCGGUUUCUUAAGUCUGAUGUGAAAGCCCCCGGCUCAACCGGGGAGGGUCAUUGGAAACUGGGGAACUUGAGUGCAGAAGAGGAGAGUGGAAUUCCACGUGUAGCGGUGAAAUGCGUAGAGAUGUGGAGGAACACCAGUGGCGAAGGCGACUCUCUGGUCUGUAACUGACGCUGAGGA